rnacentral:rRNA from 1 species
UACGUAGGGCGCAAGCGUUGUCCGGAAUCAUUGGGCGUAAAGAGCGUGUAGGCGGCCAGGUAGGUCUGCUGUGAAAACUCGAGGCUCAACCUCGAGACGUCGGCGGAAACCAUCUGGCUAGAGUCCGGAAGAGGAGAGUGGAAUUCCUGGUGUAGCGGUGAAAUGCGCAGAUAUCAGGAGGAACACCGGUGGCGAAGGCGGGUCUCUGGGCAACAACUGACGCUGAGGAGCGAAAGCGUGGGGAGCGAACAGG